GGCCAGAUGUCCGAGUGGUUAAGGAGACAGACUAGAAUCGUCGCUUAUCUGUUAGGCUCUGCCUGCGCAGGUUCAAGUCCUGCUCUGGUCG
rfam:Rhodotorula graminis WP1 unplaced genomic scaffold RHOBAscaffold_22, whole genome shotgun sequence.